GGUCUAACACUAGUGGUGGAGCAUGUGGUUUAAUGCGAUAAUCCGCGCAAAAUCUUACCAAUUCUUGACAUAUUUAAAUAAUCGGACAUAUGAAUAAGUUGUUAGAGGAUGAUUAUUUUCUUACAGGUGUUGCACGACUGUCGUCAGCUCGUGUUGUGAGACGUCUGGUUAAGUCCUGAAACGGGCGUAACUCUUACUUUUUAUAAAGUUUUUACGGAUUAAAAGCUUUAUUCCAUAAAAGUCUUUUAGAUGCUUUAAAAGUACGGUCAACGAUAAGUUGAAGGAAGGUAAGAAUGAAGUCAAGUCAAUGUGACCCUAAUGAAUUGGGCUACACAUGUGCUACAAUGAAAAUCACAAAAAGUGACAAAAAGAAAUUUUGCGUUAAUCAACAAAAUUUUCCCAGUUCGGAUUGUAGACUGCAACUCGUCUACAUGAAGUUGGAAUCACUAGUAAUCGCAAAUU
rnacentral:rRNA from 1 species